GUGUAGUCGCCUCCUGGAAGGCUGAGUCCAAAUUGGUCCACACCACAUGGUGCAAAGCUGGGCAGGAGCCCACGCCUGAGGAAGCACUGAGCUCAAAAUGGUUAAAUCACUUCUUCAAGGCAUCACAUACAAGAGACAACAAAAGAGAGGACGAAACAGCGGCAAGGUGACUUGGAUUGAAUUCCCUUUUC